AGCAGCCGCGGUAAUCCCAGCUCCAAUAGCGUAUAUUAAAGUUGUUGCAGUUAAAAGCUCGUAGUUGAAUUUCGGGAUCAAUAUGUCGGUCGUGCCUUCGGUACGUACUGGUAUCAUUGGUCUCUCCUUUCUGACGAACCAUGAUGUCAUUAAUUUGGUGUUAUGGGGAGUUAGGACUGUUACUUUGAAAAAUUAGAGUGUUUAAAGCAGGCUUUAGCUUGAAUACAUUAGCAUGGAAUAAUGAAAUAGGACGUUCGAACCUAUUUUGUUGGUUUCUAGGAUCAACGUAAUGAUUAAUAGGGAUAGUUGGGGGCAUUAGUAUUCAAUUGUCAGAGGUGAAAUUCUUGGAUUUAUUGAAGACUAACUACUGCGAAAGCAUUUGCCAAGGAUGUUUUCAUUAAUCAAGAACGAAAGUUAGGGGAUCGAAGACGAUCAGAUACCGUCGUAGUCUUAACCAUAAACUAUGCCGACUAGGGAUCGGGAUGAUGUUAAUUUUUAAUGACUCAUUCGGCGCCUUACG
rnacentral:rRNA from 1 species